rnacentral:rRNA from 1 species
CCUACGGGUGGCAGCAGUGGGGAAUAUUGGACAAUGGGGGCAACCCUGAUCCAGCCAUGCCGCGUGUGUGAAGAAGGCCCUCGGGUUGUAAAGCACUUUCAGUGAGGAAGAACGCCUGGUGGUUAAUACCCAUCAGGAAAGACAUCACUCACAGAAGAAGCACCGGCUAACUCCGUGCCAGCAGCCGCGGUAAUACGGAGGGUGCGAGCGUUAAUCGGAAUUACUGGGCGUAAAGCGCGCGUAGGUGGCUUGAUAAGCCGGUUGUGAAAGCCCCGGGCUCAACCUGGGAACGGCAUCCGGAACUGUCAAGCUAGAGCGCAGGAGAGGAAGGUAGAAUUCCCGGUGUAGCGGUGAAAUGCGUAGAGAUCGGGAGGAAUACCAGUGGCGAAGGCGGCCUUCUGGACUGACACUGACACUGAGGUGCGAAAGCGUGGGUAGCAAACAGGAUUAGAUACCCUGGUAGUC